rnacentral:rRNA from 1 species
UCCUACGGGAGGCAGCAGUGGGGAAUAUUGGACAAUGGGCGAAAGCCUGAUCCAGCCAUGCCGCGUGUGUGAAGAAGGCCUUUUGGUUGUAAAGCACUUUAAGCGAGGAGGAGGCUACUUAGAUUAAUACUCUAGGAUAGUGGACGUUACUCGCAGAAUAAGCACCGGCUAACUCUGUGCCAGCAGCCGCGGUAAUACAGAGGGUGCGAGCGUUAAUCGGAUUUACUGGGCGUAAAGCGUGCGUAGGCGGCUUCUUAAGUCGGAUGUGAAAUCCCUGAGCUUAACUUAGGAAUUGCAUUCGAUACUGGGAAGCUAGAGUAUGGGAGAGGAUGGUAGAAUUCCAGGUGUAGCGGUGAAAUGCGUAGAGAUCUGGAGGAAUACCGAUGGCGAAGGCAGCCAUCUGGCCUAAUACUGACGCUGAGGUACGAAAGCAUGGGGAGCAAACAGGAUUAGAUACCCUGGUAGUCCAUGCCGUAAACGAUGUCUACUAGCCGUUGGGGCCUUUGAGGCUUUAGUGGCGCAGCUAACGCGAUAAGUAGACCGCCUGGGGAGUACGGUCGCAAGACUAAACUCAAAUGAAUUGACGG